rnacentral:rRNA from 1 species
UGAGGAAUAUUGGGCAAUGCCCGCAAGGGUGACCCAGCAACGCCGCGUGGAGGAUGAAUGUCGUAAGAUUGUAAACUCCUGUUAGAGGGGAAGAAUAGUACCGGUUGGACCGGUAUAUGACUGUACCCUCAGAGAAAGCCCCGGCUAACUACGUGCCAGCAGCCGCGGUAAUACGUAGGGGGCAAGCGUUGUCCGGAUUUACUGGGUGUAAAGGGCGCGCAGGCGGGAUAAAAAGUCAGAGGUGAAAUCCUACAGCUUAACUGUAGAACUUCAUUUGAUCCUUUUAUUCUUGAGUUCGGGAGAGAGAGACGGAAUUCCAGGUGGAGUGGUGAAAUACGUAGAUAUCUGGAAGAACACCAGUUGCGAAGGCGGUCUCUUGGUCCGACACUGACGCUGAGGCG